rnacentral:rRNA from 1 species
GCGACCCCAGGUCAGGCGGGAUCACCCGCUGAAUUUAAGCAUAUCAAUAAGCGGAGGAGAAGAAACUUACAAGGAUUCCCCUAGUAACGGCGAGCGAACCGGGAAAAGCCCAGNUUGGGAAUCGGGCGGCUUCGCUGUCCGAAUUGUAGUCUGUAGAAGCGUCCUCAGCGACGGACCGGGCCCAAGUMCCCUGGAAGGUGGCGCCAGAGAGGGUGAGAGCMCCGUCGUGUCCGGACCCUGUCGCACCACGAGGCGCUGUCGGCGAGUCGGGUUGUUUNNNNNNNNNNNNNCAANCGGGCGGUAAAUUCCGUCCAAGGCUAAAUACUGGCGAGAGACCGAUAGCGAACAAGUACCGCGAGGKWAAGAUGAAAAGGACUUUGAAAAGAGAGUCAAAGAGUGCUUGAAAUUGUCGGGAGGGAAGCGGAUGGGGGCCGGCGAUGCGCCUCGGUCGRAUGCGGWACGGCGAUGAGCCGGUCCGCCGCUCGACUCGGGGCGUGGACCGAYGCGGAUUUCGGCGGCGACCCAAGYMCGGGCUGUUGAUAUGCCCGUGGAGACAUCGUCCCSGCGAUCGUGGUGGGCAGCGUGCGCCCAGAGGUGUGCCAUUGGCAACUGYGYGCUCCCAGCGUUGGCUACGGGCUCCCCAUUCGGCCCGUCUUGAAACACGGACCAAGGAGUCUGACAUGUGUGCGAGUCAACGGGCUAGYAAACCCGUGAGGCGCAAGGAAGCUGAUUGGCGGGAUCCCCCUGUGGGUUGCACCGUCGACCGACCCA